rnacentral:rRNA from 1 species
UACGUAGGGGGCAAGCGUUGUCCGGAUUUAUUGGGCGUAAAGAGCGUGUAGGCGGCCAAGCAGGUCCGCUGUGAGAACUCGAGGCUCAACCUCGAGACGUCGGUGGAAACCGUUUGGCUAGAGUCCGGAAGAGGAGAGUGGAAUUCCCGGUGUAGCGGUGAAAUGCGCAGAUAUCGGGAAGAACACCCGUGGCGAAGGCGAGUCUCUGGGAUGAUGCUGACGCUGAGGCGCGAAAGCCAGGGGAGCAAACGGG